GGAAGUGCCCAUCCAGCCCCUACAGACCUAACGGCGCCACUGUCCCGAGGCGCCAGCAGCCCUCCCCUCCGUCUUCCUUGCCAAGAGAUGCCCGAUUUUGUUCAGGAAACUGUGGCCCUGUGCCUCAGGGCAAGUGGAGCUUCCUCCACCCGACAAGGACUCUGGGUGAAGUUGAUCAUGGGUCUACAUGGCAGUGGUUGAUUCAGAAGGGUGUCUGCAGAAUGCUGACCAGUAAAAUACGAGUUAAGUCUGCUCUGGGGACUUAAUGUGUGACCAAACAUGGGGCAUGUCACCUUCCCUUCUGCGGCCUUUGGCCAUUGUUGUGAGGGGGUGCAGGCUGGAGCUGUGGCAGGCAUGUCCCCGACCAGGAAGGGCCAGCCCAGAAUGGGGGGACAAAGUGAUAGAUGACCCAGGCCCUGGGGCCACCUCAUCUCGAGGGUUUCUGUAGAAAUCUCCACAUGGAGAGCAGUUGUGUCUGAUCUCCUCUCACUUGCAGCUGAGUCUAGUUGAGAAGCCAAUUAGUAAAUCUGCUCUUCAGCACAGGUCAGAGGGAGCUCGGGGCUGGGCUCCCAAAUCAGCCUGGGUUAGGGAAGGGAAGCCAGAGGUGGUGCUGAGAAUGCUGUGGCAGGCAAGGAGUAGGCAGAAGUGGCGUGGCGUUCUUCAGGCUGAAGCAGAGGACCCAGCCAGUGAUGCCUGCAUGCAAAAUGGACGGAAUACCCACAAGAUAAUGCUAGAGACUUCUGCAGCUGGAAUAGCUUGUGUGCUCAACAGCUCCAGCUUUGUAAGCGCCUGAGGCCUCCAUCAGCUGCUUGGGAUGAGCUUCUAGAUGGCCACGAGAUUUCUCAUCCAUUCAACAGAGAUUUAAUGAGUCCGCACCUUGUGUGCUGGGCUUCAGGGAUACGGGUGAAUGAAGAUGCCAGCCCUUUCCCUCAAGUAGCUCACUGCCUAGUGGUGGGAUGUCAGCACAUGGAAAAGCCCUUCCUAGAGGUUCUCUGCCAUGCUGAGCACAGUCAGGUGUGUAAUCACAAUAGCUGCAAUUUAUUAGGAAUCAACGUCUCUGGUACUAAGUGAAACAACUUUGCAUAAAUUAUGUCUAAUCUCCGCUACAAUCCUUCCAUUUUCCUGGGGAUAGGUCGUGUUUCUCAAAGACGGUCACUUCAAUGUAUGUGUCCCAUCCCACCUGCUCUUGCUCAGUGUGACCACUAUCUUCUAAUAAAGGAUAGCCAGCGGUGCUGGUAAGUGUUCAACAGCUUGCUUUCUGGAAAAAAAUUUAAAACCCUGAUUUGCAGCACUGGCCAACUUCUGUGGAGUAAAUACUUCCAUCACGGCCAGAGUCAAGCUACCAGCAUGGUGUCGUUGUACACAAAGUUGGGAAGAAAUGCCCAAGAGCACACCAGUAUAUGGUAUUUCCACAUACGGAUGCAAGAGAUGGAAAUAACCUUGGGGGCAUAAAUAAUAGUAAUAUAGAGUAAAAUAAUUUGGAACUGAUAGGUUUUGGGAAUUUAUUGCCUCUGUUUUUAAUAUGAUUUAUUUAAUUGUAAGUUUAUAUAAUUUAAUUUUUAAUGAUGCCUGUGUUUACCAACUGGCUGGCAAAAUUCCUGACAAUUUAACAAUCAGCUCUUGGGAGCUCGUCCUCUCCGGCUCCAGACACCAGACCCCGGAGACCUGAGUGAGACUUGCCCAGCCUGGCCCACUGCACCGCUACAAUGAGGAGAGAGACUGUUAAUAAUACUGUUACUGUUACAGCCCCUAAGUGCUGGGUUGAUUUUGUGAUUCAGCAAUAGAUAACCAAGUCCAUCCUGAUUUUUCAGACGAGGACACAGAGUCCUAGCGUGAAUGUGAACCAGCAGAGAUGGCAGGCGCCGGGAUUCUCACUGAGUCUGGGUCGCCUCCUGUUGCCACCGUGCUUCCUCCUCAAGGACAGCAUAACGCAUUCAAAAUUAAGACGGUCUCAGUCACCUGUAAGUCAUUUUAAGGUCGGAGGCUGAAUCAUCGGCUCGUGAAUGGGAAGUGGGGCACCCCGUUUCUCUCUGACACCCCACUGGGUUCAGGAGACUGGCACAGCGAGAAAGUCACUACCCACAGCACAGGAGCCAUUGGAAUCCUGAUGGAAAGCUGUUAUCCUUGAACUGCUCAUUAAUAAUUCUUCAACACUCCCAUCAGCUUCUAAACUAACAUCUGGAGAACUUCCUUUAUAAAAGGCAAACUUCACAAAAAGAGUUCAGCCUCGUCUACAAACAGCCCCCGCUGUCUGGACCUGGCUGACUUGUCUGUAUGGCUUCGGCUUGUCCUGGAUGCGGCUCACCCUCUGCUGGGAAUUAUUCGGGGAGGUGACACUGUCAAACAGGGGACCACUUGGGAGCUGGAGGAGAGGGCCACAGUCUUCCUCGGGAGGAGCAGUGACUGAAUUACCCGGAGGGCUCCUUCUUUCGAGGACUGGAAGAGGGCGGGUGAGGCGGGUGACAAUGGCUACGUGUCUUCACGGCAGGGGGGCCCGCUGGCAGAGCACCACUAGAGAGGACAGCUUGCAAACCUUUCCCAGAUGGGUCCUCAGAACUGCAAACUUGAGGGUGGCGCACCCUCACCACCUGGGAACAGCAUGUGUCCAGGACUGCCAAGACUCAGAAAGACGAUAUGGGUGAGCGCACGGGAACCGGGAAGAAAUCGACCUGGCAGAGCAAGGCUGGUUAAGGAAAUCGAGUCCACAGUGAAGUUCAUCUCAAUAAACAAUCCCCCACUGGGAGGCUGAACCCGCUUCCCAAACAGAGCUGCUGUUUCCUACUGUUGCGUAAUUACAGAGGUCACCCAGCUGUUGGGAGAGACCACACAUUGUGUUUCCGGUUGUGUAAAUACAAACGAGCCGGCAGCAGCCAGCAGAGCUCCUGAGGGCAAGAAUGGGAGGCUGAGGGAGAGGUGUGCUCCAGGAGAGGACCGGCCGGAGCCCACCCGUCAGUGUGAAACAAGCGAGGCGGUUUCGGUUUCUGUCCUGUCUCUCUCCCCUCACUUGCAGCUUUGGAAAAUUUGGAUCUGUUGUGAAAGGGUAACACUUUUUCCAUGUCUGAUACUGGCAGCGUCAGAUGGGGAGCAGCAGGAUCCUCAACCUUCUUCCAGAAGGUUCAGGAAGCCCACGGGGCUGCACACAUACCAAGCCAUCCUCUGAAACCCUUCUUCCUGGUGGUAUUUCCCCUGGAUGUGUUUGAGCUCUCUCUGAGGCGGCCCUGGAAGCUCUGCCGAUAAUUAGAAGCUGGUGAAGCAGCCUCGGGCCUCGUCCUGGGCUCCUGCCAAGUCCACAGAGGGUUGAGAAACUGAAGGGGGAACCUCCCCUUUCUCACUCUUGGGCAAGAGGAGUGUCCGAUGUGAACAACUGUGGACGCUGAAAGCUGUUUGACCUUGGCAGAGUCACUGAACUCUUGGAGGAGACGCAUAGGACACGCCGUGGCUUGGUUCCCCAGGUCCCCUGCCAUCAGCACAGCCCUUGGAAGAAGACUUCCGUCUCUGCAUCUACAAUGUGGGGUCACAAUGAAAGGCUCUUCUUGGGGUGGUUG
ensembl:lncRNA